rnacentral:misc_RNA from 1 species
AAGUCGUAACAAGGUUUCCGUAGGUGAACCUGCGGAAGGAUCAUUAUUACGUAUCCAACGUAUAAACCAAACGUGAACUGUAUCCGCUCAGCGAUGAAGUCAAUGGCUCAUCACGAUUCAUGCCUCCGUGUUAGUGAUAGUAGGGGUAAUUCCCUGCUAGGAGGUUAGUGAUGCGGUCGCCACAGAGCCUUGCGCUCUGAGGGACUUUGUCUCUGAGGCUGGUAUUUCAAUCACUAACAUUUACUAUUAUUAACCCAUUGAACUAAUUAUUGAACUAAUCAUGUUUCUAGCCUUGGUGGACCCUUCGGGGCUCGCUGGCCUGAAAUUAUUUACGUAACUUGAACAACUCUUAGCAACGGAUAUCUUGGCUCUC